rnacentral:rRNA from 1 species
CUACGUGCCAGCAGCCGCGGUAAUACGGAGGAUGCGAGCGUUAUCCGGAUUUAUUGGGUUUAAGGGGUGCGUAGGCGGCCUGUUAAGUCAGCGGUGAAAUCUAGGAGCUUAACUCCUAAAUUGCCAUUGAUACUGGCGGGCUUGAGUGUAGAUGAGGUAGGCGGAAUGCGUGGUGUAGCGGUGGAAUGCAUAGAUAUCACGCAGAACUCCGAUUGCGAAGGCAGCUUACUAAGGUACAACUGACGCUGAAGCACGAAAGCGUGGGUAUCAAACAGGAUUAGAUACCCUGGUAGUCCACGCAGUAAACGAUGAUAACUGGGCGUAUGCGAUAUACAGUAUGCUCCUAAGCGAAAGCGUUAAGUUAUCCACCUGGGGAGUACGCCGGCAACGGUGAAACUCAAAGGAAUUGACGGGGGCCCGCACAAGCGGAGGAACAUGUGGUUUAAUUCGAUGAUACGCGAGGAACCUUACCCGGGAUUGAA